rnacentral:rRNA from 1 species
AUGCUCCUACGGGACGCAGCAGUAGGGAAUUUUCGUCAAUGGGCGCAAGCCUGAACGAGCAAUGCCGCAUGAACGAGGAAGGUCUUCGGAUCGUAAAGUUCUGUUGAAGGGGAAAAAGAGCGGAGAGAGGAAAUGGUCUCCGAUUGAUAUUACCCUUCGAGGAAGUCACGGCUAACUACGUGCCAGCAGCCGCGGUAAUACGAAGGUGGCGAGCGUUAUCCGGAAUGAUUGGGCGUAAAGGGGGCGUAGGCGGCCUGCUAAGUCUGGAGAGAAAGGAACCGGCUCAACCGGUACAGGCUCUGGAA